GACGUAGGGGGCCAGCGUUGUUCGGAAUUACUGGGUGUAAAGGGUUCGUAGGCGGUGCGGCAAGUUGGGGGUGAAAUCUCUGGGCUUAACCCAGAGGCUGCUUCCGAAACUGCUGUGCUUGAGUGUGGGAGAGGCGCGUGGAAUUGCAGGUGUAGCGGUGAAAUGCGUAGAUAUCUGCAGGAACACCCGUGGCGAAAGCGGCGCGCUGGACCACUACUGACGCUGAGGAACGAAAGCUAGGGGAGCAAACAGG
rnacentral:rRNA from 1 species